rnacentral:rRNA from 1 species
CUCAACGACCGUACCGCAAACCGACACUGGUGCGCGAGAUGAGUAUUCUAAGGCGCUUGAGAGAACUCAGGAGAAGGAACUCGGCAAAUUGACACCGUAACUUCGGAAGAAGGUGUGCCCUAUUAGUGUGUAGUGAACAACGAAGCAUGAAUGGGUUGCAAAAAAUCGGUGGCUGCGACUGUUUAUUAAAAACACAGCACUCUGCAAACACGAAAGUGGACGUAUAGGGUGUGACGCCUGCCCGGUGCUGGAAGAUUAAAUGAUGGGGUGCAAGCUCUUGAUUGAAGUCCCAGUAAACGGCGGCCGUAACAAUAACGGUCCUAAGGUAGCGAAAUUCCUUGUCGGGUAAGUUCCGACCUGCACGAAUGGCGUAACGAUGGCCACACUGUCUCCUCCUGAGACUCAGCGAAGUUGAAAUGUUUGUGAUGAUGCAAUCUCCCCGCGGAAUGACGGAAAGACCCCAUGAACCUUUACUGUAGCUUUGUAUUGGACUUUGAACAGAUCUGUGUAGGAUAGGUGGGAGGCUUUGAAGCAGGGUCGCUAGAUCUUGUGGAGCCAACGUUGAAAUACCACCCUGGUGUGUUUGAGGUUCUAACCUAGGUCCAUUAUCUGGAUCGGGGACAGUGCAUGGUAGGCAGUUUGACUGGGGCGGUCUCCUCCCAAAGCGUAACGGAGGAGUUCGAAGGUACGCUAGUUACGGUCGGACAUCGUGACGAUAGUGCAAUGGCAUAAGCGUGCUUAACUGCGAGACUGACAAGUCGAGCAGAUGCGAAAGCAGGACAUAGUGAUCCGGUGGUUCUGUAUGGAAGGGCCAUCGCUCAACGGAUAAAAGGUACUCUGGGGAUAACAGGCUGAUACCGCCCAAGAGUUCAUAUCGACGGCGGUGUUUGGCACCUCGAUGUCGGCUCAUCUCAUCCUGGGGCUGUAGCCGGUCCCAAGGGUAUGGCUGUUCGCCAUUUAAAGAGGUACGUGAGCUGGGUUUAAAACGUCGUGAGACAGUUUGGUCCCUAUCUUCCGUAGGCGCUGCAGAUUUGAGGAAGCCUGCUCCUAGUACGAGAGGACCGGAGUGGACACACCUCUGGUGUAUCGGUUGUCACGCCAGUGGCAUUGCCGAGUAGCUAAGUGUGGAAGAGAUAACCGCUGAAAGCAUCUAAGCGGGAAACUCGUUUCAAGAUGAGAUCUGCCGGGGCCUUGAGCCCCCUGAAGAGUCGUUCAAGACCAGGACGUUGAUAGGUCAGGUGUGGAAGCUA